UUUUUUUUUUUUUUUUUUCUCUGUCAGACGAACGCUGGCGGCGUGCCUAAUACAUGCAAGUCGAGCGGACAGAAGGGAGCUUGCUCCCGGAUGUUAGCGGCGGACGGGUGAGUAACACGUGGGUAACCUGCCUGUAAGACUGGGAUAACUCCGGGAAACCGGAGCUAAUACCGGAUAGUUCCUUGAACCGCAUGGUUCAAGGAUGAAAGACGGUUUCGGCUGUCACUUACAGAUGGACCCGCGGCGCAUUAGCUAGUUGGUGGGGUAAUGGCUCACCAAGGCGACGAUGCGUAGCCGACCUGAGAGGGUGAUCGGCCACACUGGGACUGAGACACGGCCCAGACUCCUACGGGAGGCAGCAGUAGGGAAUCUUCCGCAAUGGACGAAAGUCUGACGGAGCAACGCCGCGUGAGUGAUGAAGGUUUUCGGAUCGUAAAGCUCUGUUGUUAGGGAAGAACAAGUGCGAGAGUAACUGCUCGCACCUUGACGGUACCUAACCAGAAAGCCACGGCUAACUACGUGCCAGCAGCCGCGGUAAUACGUAGGUGGCAAGCGUUGUCCGGAAUUAUUGGGCGUAAAGGGCUCGCAGGCGGUUUCUUAAGUCUGAUGUGAAAGCCCCCGGCUCAACCGGGGAGGGUCAUUGGAAACUGGGAAACUUGAGUGCAGAAGAGGAGAGUGGAAUUCCACGUGUAGCGGUGAAAUGCGUAGAGAUGUGGAGGAACACCAGUGGCGAAGGCGACUCUCUGGUCUGUAACUGACGCUGAGGAGCGAAAGCGUGGGGAGCGAACAGGAUUAGAUACCCUGGUAGUCCACGCCGUAAACGAUGAGUGCUAAGUGUUAGGGGGUUUCCGCCCCUUAGUGCUGCAGCUAACGCAUUAAGCACUCCGCCUGGGGAGUACGGUCGCAAGACUGAAACUCAAAGGAAUUGACGGGGGCCCGCACAAGCGGUGGAGCAUGUGGUUUAAUUCGAAGCAACGCGAAGAACCUUACCAGGUCUUGACAUCCUCUGACAACCCUAGAGAUAGGGCUUUCCCUUCGGGGACAGAGUGACAGGUGGUGCAUGGUUGUCGUCAGCUCGUGUCGUGAGAUGUUGGGUUAAGUCCCGCAACGAGCGCAACCCUUGAUCUUAGUUGCCAGCAUUCAGUUGGGCACUCUAAGGUGACUGCCGGUGACAAACCGGAGGAAGGUGGGGAUGACGUCAAAUCAUCAUGCCCCUUAUGACCUGGGCUACACACGUGCUACAAUGGACAGAACAAAGGGCUGCAAGACCGCAAGGUUUAGCCAAUCCCAUAAAUCUGUUCUCAGUUCGGAUCGCAGUCUGCAACUCGACUGCGUGAAGCUGGAAUCGCUAGUAAUCGCGGAUCAGCAUGCCGCGGUGAAUACGUUCCCGGGCCUUGUACACACCGCCCGUCACACCACGAGAGUUUGCAACACCCGAAGUCGGUGAGGUAACCUUUAUGGAGCCAGCCGCCGAAGGUGGGGCAGAUGAUUGGGGUGAAGUCGUACAAAGGG
rnacentral:rRNA from 1 species